AUUGAACGCUGGCGGCAGGCCUAACACAUGCAAGUCGAGCGAGCGGCGGACGGGUGAGUAAUGUCUGGGAACCUGCCUGAUGGAGGGGGAUAACUCCUGGAAACGGUAGCUAAUACCGCAUACCAUCAGAUGUGCCCAGAUGGGAUUAGAUAGUAGGUGGGGUACCGGCUCACCUAGGCGACGAGCCCUAGCUGGUCUGAGAGGAUGACCAGCAACACUGGAACGGAGACACGGUCCAGACUCCUACGGGAGGCAGCAGUGGGGAAUAUUGCACAAUGGGCGCAAGCCUGAUUCAGCCAUGCCGCGGGUGUGAAGAAGGCCUUCGGGUUGUAAAGCACGUUCAGCGGGGAGGCGUUACCCGCAGAAGAAGCAACGGCUAACUCCGUGCCAGCAGCCGCGGUAAUAC
rnacentral:rRNA from 1 species